CCUACGGGUGGCUGCAGUGAGGAAUAUUGGUCAAUGGACGAGAGCCUGAACCAGCCAAGUCGCGUGAAGGAUGACGGUCCUAUGGGUUGUAAACCUCUUUUACCUGGGAACAAAACACGGUACGUAUACCGCCUCGUGAGUACCAUAUGAAAAAGCAUCGGCUAACUCCGUGCCAGCAGCCGCGGUAAUACGGAGGAUCCGAGCGUUAUCCGGAUUUAUUGGGUUUAAAGGGUGCGCAGGCGGCUGGUUAAGUCAGUUGUGAAAGUUUGCGGCUCAACCGUAGAAAUGCAGUUGAAACUGGCAGGCUAGAGUACGGUAGAGGUAUGCGGAAUGCGUGGUGUAGCGGUGAAAUGCAUAGAUAUCACGAAGAACUCCGAUUGCGAAGGCAGCACACUGGACUGCAACUGACGCUGAGGCUCGAAAGUGUGGGUAUCGAACAGGAUUAGAUACCCCAGUAGUC
rnacentral:rRNA from 1 species